AUUGAACGCUGGCGGCAGGCCUAACACAUGCAAGUCGAACGAGUGGCGGACGGGUGAGUAAUGUCUGGGAAAAUGCCUGAUGGAGGGGGAUAACUACUGGAAACGGUAGCUAAUCCCGCAUACCAUCAGAUGUGCCCAGAUGGGCUUCGCUAGUAGGUGGGGUAACGGCUCACCUAGGCGACGAUCCCUAGCUGGUGUGAGAGGAUGACCAGCAACACUGGAACUGAGACACGGUCCAGACUCCUACGGGAGGCAGCAGUGGGGAAUAUUGCACAAUGGGCGAAAGCCUGAUGCAGCCAUGCCGCGUGUAUGAAGAAGGCCUUCGGGUUGUAAAGUACUUUCAGCGGGGAGGCGUUACUCGCAGAAGAAGCGCCGGCUAACUCCGUGCCAGCAGCCGCGGUAAUUC
rnacentral:rRNA from 1 species